rnacentral:rRNA from 1 species
GACAGAGGGGGCAAGCGUUGCUCGGAAUCACUGGGCGUAAAGGGCGCGUAGGCGGGCUGGCAAGUCGGUCGUGAAAUCCUUCGGCUCAACCGAAGAACGUCGGCCGAUACUGCCGUUCUUGAGGGAUGCAGAGGAGAUUGGAAUUCCCGGUGUAGCGGUGAAAUGUGUAGAGAUCGGGAGGAACACGGGUGGCGAAGGCGGGUCUCUGGGCAUCUCCUGACGCUGAGGCGCGAAAGCGUGGGGAGCAAACGGG